rnacentral:lncRNA from 1 species
AAAUGUGGUCAUGGUCCAGGGGCUUUACUUUCUUCUGGCUACAAGCAAUAAAUCUGCCAUCUGCCAAAGACAUGGGACAACUAGAGGUCAAUGCUACAUAUUAAUUCACCUGUUGGACAUCUAAGAGCAGUUAAUCAGCCCCAGGAAAUAGUUCCAGAUUAAGAAAAGGAGUGAUCUGUGUUGAUAGGAACUCUGAAGCAAGGACUUCCAGGGAGAGAACUCCAAGGUGGCCUGCCUAGAAGUCCCAGGGUCCCUCAACGGGCACACAAAUAUGGUUAUCCAGCUGCAGCUAUAGGCAAUAAGGCAGCCUACAAGCUCCAACAGCAUCUUUCUUCCUUUUCUCUUUACAGAUAUGGACAAGGUCUCCCAGCCUCCCAGCCCACCCUUCCAGAACUGGAGAGAGCAGAGUGUCCUCAGGAAAGUUCUUCUGCUUCUGCCUCCUCACAUCCCAGGGCUGUUUAACUUCAGCGUCUCAAAAACAAGAUUCAUGGGCUGGAGUGGUGGCUCAAUGGUAGAGCGCUUGCCUAGCAUGUGUGAGGCACUGGGUUUGAUCCUCAGCAACACAUAAAAAAAUAAAUAAAUAAAAUAAAG